AUGGGAACCGGAGCGGAACCGGAGCGGAACCGGAGCAGCGCAGCCCGAACCGGGACGGCGGAGGCUGCCCCGGGCUGUGCGGGCGAGCAGGCGAAGGAGGAGGGGAAAGGAGCUGGAGGAGGGGAGGGGAGGGCUGCAGGGGGCGGGGGCGGCGGGGGGGAGGCGCCGCCCGCGCCCCCGCCCCGGCUGGAUCCCCCCACCCGCUUCCCCGGGCCAGGCUUGGGGGGCUCCGGUGGUCCCAACCCCCGCCAGCCUCACCCCACGCUGCUGGACCCCUGCCAUCCCCAUGGCCACCCUGGGAUGCUGCACCCCUCGCCCCCCGCGGAUGGGGUCACCCGUGGGUGCUGGAGGAGGAUGGGACCCCCCCCCGUGCCACCCACAAGGUGGGCGUGCAGAGCGGUGGCCAGAGCUGGGGACCCCCCCCCUGGCCCUGCAGCCCCCGUGCAAAGGGGGCACCCAGCGGCUCUGCCCCACGCUGCCCCCUCCCAGGGAUGCUCCCAGCACCCGCCUUGGUGCUGCUCGACGUGGGGGUCCUGGGUGGGUGGGGGUCCCGGGUGGGCUGUGCGCCACAGGCCAGGGAUUUCGUGCUUGGAGCAAGAGGAGGAAAACCUGGUGGCACAGGCAAGCCGCCUGUUGUCACCUCCCCGCCAGGUGUUUGGGUGCCCGCUGGGUGUUACCAUCCCCUGUCCUGCAUCCUGGAGCAUCCCUGGGGACCAGCCACCAGCCGCAGGGACCCCCGCUCCCCACCAGCAUCCCGGGGGGUCCCAAGGGGCAGCACCGAUGGGCGAGGGGCUGCCCCCCGAUAGCCCCGCGGGGUGCUCGAGGGGGGCACCAAGGAUUAAUCCGCCCCCUCCCGGUCCCCAGUCCCAGCGAGGGAGGUUGGCAGCAGAUGUGGAAGGGAAGGAGCUGCGAAUCCCUUCCCCAAACAGGGUCCCGCAGCGCCAGCCCUGCUCCUCACCACCCUCCAGCCGCCCGGCCGAGAGUAAACACCCGGCGGCUGCAGCGCAUUCCUGCGCUGGGCCCGGGCUGGGGGCUGCAGCCCCGCGCCCCCAUCCCCACGAGGAGCCCACGGGUGCUGUGUCCUCACCCAGGGGUGCAGGACACGACCGUGGUGUGAUCCCGGCCGCAUUUGGGGGCUUUCGGAGGUGCCCGCUGGCUCCCCAAGGAAGGGUCUGGCGGUGCUGCGGUGUGCUCCAGGAGGUCGGGGUGAUUUAUUUUCGCCCAUGGAGCCGAGCCAGCACUGGGCUCGGUGUGCCCGACCCCAGGAAGGCAGCAGCAGGGUGGCCGCAGGGCCGGCACCGUGGCCACGGUGGGGGCUCGCGGCGCACCCAUGGCAGGGCCAGAAGGGCCGGAGCGCGGUGGCGAUGCUGCGAGGAGCGUUGCAGAAGCUGCCGAGCGGCCCCAAGGAGUUUUGGAGCCGCGACAGCUCCGCAAAGCCAUAAAGCUAUUGAAAGCGUGUUUGUUUAA
rnacentral:lncRNA from 1 species